UCCGGUUUAUCACCAGCAGUCUUCUUAAUGUGCUCAGCUUUACCUGCUAGCAAUUAAAAACAAGGGUUGCGCUCGUUACGGGACUUAACCCAACAUCUCACGACACGAGCUGACGACAGCCAUGCAGCACCUGUUACUGUGUUCCUCUCGGCACAGCAGCCUCUCCUCUGCCUUCACAGUAUGUCUAGGGUAGGUAAGGUUUUUCGCGUUGCAUCGAAUUAAACCACAUGCUCCACCGCUUGUGCGAGCCCCCGUCAAUUCCUUUGAGUUUUAACCUUGCGGUCGUACUCCCCAGGCGGAAUACUUAGCGCGUUUGCUUCGUUACUGCUUACUCCCAGUAUUCAACAACUAGUAUUCAUCGUUUACCGCAUGGACUAC
rnacentral:misc_RNA from 1 species